UUUUUGUCUUUUGUAUUGUAUCUAUCUGAGGAGAUAGGUGUUAGCUGAACCUAUUGUUGGUAAUCAUUUCACAAUAUAUGUAAAGCAAACCAUCAGGUUGUACCCUUUAAACUUAUACAUUGAUGUAUGUCAAUGAUUUCUCAAUAAAGCUGGGAGGAAAAAACCUCUAAUGCUGUCAGCUCCUUCCUCAAACAAAAAAAUAAACAUACAAAAAAGACUAGCAGAAUUUCUGGAGUCCAUAAAGGCUUUUUUGCCACUGAAAAUUACCUGGCCCGAGACCAUAUACUGGUUCCUUUAUUUUUAAUGUAACUGUAGGUGCUAAUUAGGUGCUUUCAAGCUGCCAGAAUAGCAUCUUUCAAGCUGCUAAUGCCCCAAACUGCUGUCAGCAUCAUCAUUAUUAGCCCUGAAGUGCUCCUCUAUGAGGAACUUCUCACACUUGACAUGUCCCAGCUCUUGGCAAAUUAUUUUGAGUGACUUCUUAAUUCGAAGUACUAUGGCACCCAUUGCUAAUGAAGCAUGCAGGAGCCACAGAGCUGUCGGGAGAUAGUAAAGGUUCUGAUUCCCCUUUGUCCUCUCUGAGGACUCCUGCUCCUAAUUGAAGGACUUGUGUCUACUCUUUAGCCAGUGUUGUGUCUCUUUACACUAAAACGUGAAUUCUUUCUUUUUAAUGGCUGCACCCACAAAUAUGGACGUUCCCAGGCCAGGGAUUGAAUCUAAGUUGCGGCUGCAACCCUCGCAGCAGCUGUGUCAAUACUGGAUCCGUUGAACCACUGUGCCAGGCCAGGGAUUGAACCUGUGCCUCUGCAGUGACCUGAGCUGUGGCAGCUGGAUUCUUAACCCACUGCACCAGGGCAGGAACUCCAAAAUAUGAAUUCUUUAUCUCAAGGUGAUAAGGACGCUUUGCAGUCAUCAGAAAAUUCAACUCUAGGUAUUCUUAUUUUAAUGUUCUUCCCUCCCUACCAGUGACUUCUGAAAGACACAGUGAUUAUUUCUUUCAGGAAAAAUCAUCUAUGUAGUUUGUCUCUAACCCACGCAGUGACUGAUCUUUGCUUUGCAAAGGUAUUGAGCAAGCUGACCUUGGGAAGACAUCAGCUAAGAACUCAAUAACAAAGCAUGGCCAAAUUCGAAAUAAAUCCUUUUUCCCAUGCUAGUUAGGAAAAUAUAUAACUCUGCCUACCUCCAUUAAGAAUUUGCUUUCAUCAGCUAUACCUCAAUUUUAAAAAAUUUUAAAAAGAAUAUUUGUGAAAUAAACAAAUUAAUAAUGAAUUUACCAUCCAAAGUGGUUUUUUUAAAAAAGAAUUUGUUCAAAAUUGUUCAACAUUUUGGUCAAUAAUUUAUUAAAUUUAAAAAUAAUUGUAAAUUCUUAUUUGCUAUUGAAGUUCUUUCUGGCUCUGCUCUGCCCACAGGAUUUUACUUGUGGGAGCAAUACUUUAUAGGCUGUAAAUAAGCCCAAUUAUUUUCUGAGAAUUAUUUUUUCACACAUCUAAAAAGGGAAAAAUGAAGAGAAAAGACAUAUAUAAAAUUAAAAUUGUCCAAGAUCCUUACACUGAAAACUACAAAACACAUAAGACAGAAAAAUUAAAGAUGGUCUAAACAAAUGGAGAGAUUAUACUUCAUAUAUGGAUUGGAAGACUCAGUAUUUGUUAACAUGGCAAUGGUUCCCAAAUUUGUGUAUAGAGUCAACAAAAUUCCCACUUAAAUUCCUGUUCUUUUUUUGUCAAAUUUUAUUACCUUUUUUUUAAAAAAAAAAUUAUAUGGAAUUGCAAAAGAGCUAAAAUAACCAAAGCAAUUUUUAGAAACAGCAAAGUUGGACAUUCAGAGGAAGCAUUAGUACAAUUAGCCUUCGUUUGUAUCAUUUUUCAGAUUCCAAGUAAAAGAGAUAUCAUAUGAUAUUUGUCUUUCUCUGUGUAACUUCACUUAGCAUGAUAAUCUCUAGGUCCCUCCAUGUUGCUGCAAAUGGCAAUAUUUCAUUUUUUAUGGCUGAGUAAUACUCCACUGUGUCUAUGUACCACAUCUUAAACCAACCAUCUGUUGACGUGCAUUUGGGUUGUUUAUAUGUCUUGGCUUCUGUAAAUUGUACUGCUAAGAACAUUGGUGUACAUGUAUCUUUUCAAAUUAGGAUAUUUGUCUGUUUCAGGUAUAUGCGCAGGAGUCGGGUUGCUGGAUCAUACAGUAGAUGGAUCAUCUAUUUUAGUUUUUUUAAGGAACUUCCAUACUGAUUUCCAUAGUCCUAAGCUGGUUUUCAUUUAUGAAAAUAGGGAGACUCCCAAUCUUAAAAAAGGCAUGAGGACCAAACAAGAUCAUGUACAGCAAGAAAUGCUUAGCACCAUAACCAUCUCAUUAGAAACACUCAGUCUUUCACAUCAGGUAGUAAGCACACCCCUCACUUAUUUCACAAAUUUGCCUGAAACUAUAUCUGAUAGCUAUGAGGAAUCCCAAGGCUAGAAUGUAAUAAAUUGUACUUGGCAGAACUGUCAAAUCAAUGAAUACUGGUGGGAAAUCUGGACAUUUUCUAUCGUGCUUUCCUGUAACUGUCAUCCUUUUCUGAAAGUCUUCUGCAACUAAAUCUUCUGCCCUCUCAUCAAAAGCACACUAUGAGAUGCAGGAGGACACGCUAUGAGUAAAAAUGGUCAGGUGUUCUAAUUGGGUAUCAUCUACCUACUCGGCCCUUCUUCUCCGGGUUUCUGAAAACCUAAAAUUAACAUGACAUUUCCUCCCAGUUUUGUAGGUAGAACAGUUUUCCUAGCCUCUUCAAAAAGACAUUCUUUUUAAAAAUUUUUUCAAUUUUAUUUUUAUUAGUGUUGAUUUACAGUGUUGGGUCAAUUUCUAGUGCACAGCAUAGUGAGUGAGUCACACACACACAAACACAUUCUUUUUCUCCGAAAGAAUGGAAAAGACAAUCUUUAGUCCUGUGGUAGCCAAACCACCUCAGAAGG
rnacentral:lncRNA from 1 species